rnacentral:rRNA from 1 species
GACGAACGCUGGCGGCGUGCUUAACACAUGCAAGUCGAACGGAGCGGCGAACGGGCGAGUAACACGUGGGUGACCUGCCCUGCACUUCGGGAUAAGCCUGGGUAACUGGGUCUAAUACCGGAGAGUGUGGGAUGGGCGCGCGGCCUAUCAGCUUGUUGGGGGGGUAAUGGCCUACCAAGGCGGAGACGGGUAGCCGGCCUGAGAGGGUGGACGGCCACAAUGAGACUGAGACAAGGUCCAGGCGGCUACAGGGGGUAACAGUGGGGAAUAUUGCGCAGCGGGCGGAAGCAUAUGGAAGAGACGCAGCGUGGGGAAAGUCGGACUUCGGGGUGUAAACUCCUUUCACCAUCGACGCGGUACAUGAAGAAGAAGCACCGGCUAACUACGUGCCAGCAGCCGCGGUAAUAC